rnacentral:lncRNA from 1 species
AUGCACAGAACAGCUCUCCACAUGCAAAGUUCUCUAGCCUGCAUCGUCCACAGCACCAAGACUGAGAAGCCUUAUGCUAGGGUGAAACAAGAAAAGGUGCAACUAGAAGCUGAAAGGGAGUACUGGCAUCUUGCGUGUUUAUCAGAUGGCUACAGCACAGGAUGCCUUUCAGCAGAAAAAGAGAUGAAGCUUGACAGGUUACUACCACAAAAAGGGGUUCAUCCUGCGGGUGCUGAGGGGGCACUAGACAAUUUUAGGUAGGAUAAUGACAUGUCAGCUUUGAGAAAAGAAAGACCACUAUGGUGGUUUCAUGGGGGAGAGGUGACAAGCAGAUACCAACAGAAGUGAGGACAGUAGUCAGCAAACUGCGUAGGGGAGAGGGUCCUAGCCAGCUACAACAUGUAAGGGAUAAGAGCAGUUCAGGAGGCAGAAGGAGAACUGAAGAAGGUGAGUUACCAAAGUCAAGGGAGGAAAAGGCUUCAAAAAAGGUGCAGUUCAAUGAGAAAAACUGAACACUAUCCCUCAGAUCUAGAAAGUGGUCAUCAGUUGUCUUAGCAAAAGCAAUGCCAAUGGAGUGGGCAGAAAUCAUAUAACUGUGAUCAAACCUUGAAUGGGUGGUAAGGAUUCUUUGGAAGCAAAUCCACUUUUUAAAGAGGAUUCACUGGAAAGGAAAGAGCAUUGUGAUAACUAGAAGGGGCCACAGAAUCGGUUACAGUUGUCCUUCUGUUGUUUUGGAAAGAGCAGGGUCUGGAGCAGGUAUAAAGUUGAAGGCAGGAAACCAGGGGCAAAGGAAGGACGAGCUUGAGAUCACAGAGAGGGAAGGAGGCAAUGGUUUCAAACAUCCAGGAGGUUCCUUCUUCCCUCCCGACCAGCAGGAGUUGGCAAGCAUGGAUGCAGAUAUGGAUAAAUUGGAUGGUGAGACUGGGGUGGGUGGUGGGAAGGAAUGUUUUUGACUUCUUGUUCUCUGUGCAGUGGAAGCAAAGGUUAUCUGUGAGAACAGAUGGGUUGGGUUGAGGUUGGAAUAGGGGAUGUGAGAUGGCUAUGGAGAGCUGACGGGGCAAGGCAAACUUGCCAAGAGCACCGAGUGCACAGCAGAGGAUGGAAACCAUCAACUGUGGUGACUGUGAUUUACAUUUGUGUUAUUUUUCCAAGCAGUGUUUGGCAGCACAGAUGCCGGAGGUUAGGAGGGUAAGCGGGGCUCAUGAGAGGGGGUGGAAGGGUGGUGAGGAGGGAGGGUCACUGAGAAGGAGUGGGUGGCUAG